GAGUUGUAAUGGCGGGACAAGGAUUUCAAGGUGCACUGAGGGUCAUGCUCCUUGUGUGUCUCCUUGGACUAACAAAAGAGUUUGAACUUGAGGACAAAGACUGGGACGAGUUGAGGUCUGAUGUGGCUGCGCUGCACAGAUUGAAAGGAUUACCUGAUCAAAUGACACGUAGGACCACAGGAGCAGACACCAGAGAGAUAACAAUGCACGGGACCAGGACAAAGAGAUUCAGCAAUUACAGGAUCUUGAAAGGUUUCUGGAAGAAAUUGAUGGACAAAAGAUCCAAGAUU
rnacentral:lncRNA from 13 species